rnacentral:rRNA from 1 species
UACGUAGGGGGCAAGCGUUGUCCGGAUUUAUUGGGCGUAAAGAGCGUGUAGGCGGCUGGGUAGGUCCGUUGUGAAAACUCGAGGCUCAACCUCGAGACGCCGAUGGAAACCCUCCAGCUAGAGUCCGGAAGAGGAGAGUGGAAUUCCUGGUGUAGCGGUGAAAUGCGCAGAUAUCAGGAGGAACACCGGUGGCGAAGGCGGGUCUCUGGGCCGAAACUGACGCUGAGGAGCGAAAGCGUGGGGAGCAAACAGG